rnacentral:rRNA from 1 species
UNCGGGAGGCAGCAGUGGGGAAUCUUAGACAAUGGGCGCAAGCCUGAYCUAGCCAUGCCGCGUGAGUGAUGAAGGCCUUAGGGUCGUAAAGCUCUUUCGCCAGGGAUGAUAAUGACAGUACCUGGUAAAGAAACCCCGGCUAAYUCCGUGCCAGCAGCCGCGGUAAUACGGAGGGGGUUAGCGUUGUUCGGAAUUACUGGGCGUAAAGCGCGCGUAGGCGGAUUAGUCAGUUAGAGGUGAAAUCCCAGGGCUCAACCCUGGAACUGCCUUUAAUACUGCUAGUCUUGAGUUCGAGAGAGGUGAGUGGAAUUCCGAGUGUAGAGGUGAAAUUCGUAGAUAUUCGGAGGAACACCAGUGGCGAAGGCGGCUCACUGGCUCGAUACUGACGCUGAGGUGCGAAAGUGUGGGGAGCAAACAGGAUUAGAUACCCUGGUAGUCCACACCGUAAACGAUGAAUGCCAGUCGUCGGGUAGUAUACUAUUCGGUGACACACCUAACGGAUUAAGCAUUCCGCCUGGGGAGUACGGUCCCAAGAUUAAAACUCAAAUGAAUUGACGGA